rnacentral:rRNA from 1 species
AACGAACGCUGGCGGCAGGCCUAACACAUGCAAGUCGAACGCUCCGCAAGGGGAGUGGCGCACGGGUGAGUAACACGUGGGAACCUACCUUCUGGUACGGAACAACCAAGGGAAACUUUGGCUAAGACCGUAUACGACCUCCGGGUGAAAGAUUGAUCGCCGGAAGAGGGGCCCGCGUCCGAUUAGGUAGUUGGUGAGGUAACGGCUCACCAAGCCUUCGAUCGGUAGCUGGUCUGAGAGGAUGACCAGCCACACUGGGACUGAGACACGGCCCAGACUCCUACGGGAGGCAGCAGUGGGGAAUAUUGGACAAUGGGCGCAAGCCUGAUCCAGCCAUGCCGCGUGAGU